rnacentral:tRNA from 10 species
UAGAGACGGGGUUUCACCGUGUUAGCCAGGAUCGUCUGGAUCUCCUGACCUCGUGAUCCACCCGCCUUGGCCUCCCAAAGUGCUAGGAUUACAGGCGUGGGACACCGUGCCCAGCCCAGGUCCUUGUGCCCUUCGAGGGUGCAGACGGUGGUCUCUGCAUCUCCUUUGCUCCACGUGCCAGGCACAGGUGCCUGGGAACUACAGAAGAGGUUGAAUAGAAGGCUUAACAAUGAGUUUGGAAGUCAGGCACAGAGGGUUUGACUUCCGGGGGCACCCCUUGCCAGCUGUAUGACCCUGGCAAGUCACUCUUCCUUUCUGCGCCUUGGUCCCUGCAUCUAUAAAUUGCUGUAAGGAUGAAAUUACAUAAUUAUAGGUAAAGCACCUGGCACAGUGAACAGUCCACAAAUCUUAGCUAUAAUAACAAUGACGUCAGUUAAGUAACUCACUUAGAAACAACACUGGCCACUGAAGUGGAGGGCCAGUGAAGUGGAGUCAAGUGCUGGGAGGAAGUCCAGGCCAGCAGGCCAACUUUGGUAUACAAAGAUGUGAAAACACGCUUGGCGUGGUGGCUCACGCCUGUAAUCCCAGCACUUCGGAAGGCCGAAGCAGGCAGAUCACCUGAGGUCAGGAGUUCCAGACCAGCCUGGCCAAGAUGGCGAAACUCUGUCUCUACUAAAAAUAUAAAAAUUAGCCAGGCGUGUUGGCGUGUGCCUGUAGUCCCGGCUACUCCUCGGGAGGCUGAGGCAGGAGAAUCACUUGAACCUGGGAGGCAGAAGUUGCAGUGGGCCGAGAUUGCACCAUUGCACUCCAGCCUGGGUGACAGAGCAAGACCCUGUCUCAAAACAAAAAAACAAAGAUGUGAAAACAGCCAACCACCAGGUGGCAAUCCAUGCAAGAGCCCAGCUGCCGGGUGUGCCCCAGCUUCAAGCCAGACAGACCUCAGACAUCCAGGGCCUGGGGAAGGUCCAGCCCCAAAUGGCAGCCAUCUGAUAGCAGCAAAAGAAAACCUGUGGGCCAGGCGCGGUGGCUCACGCCUGUAAUCUCAGCACUUUGGGAGGCCGCGGCGGGCGGAUCACGAGGUCAGGAGUUCAAGACCAGCUUGGCCAAUAUGGUGAAACCCCAUCUCUACUAAAAAUACAAAAAUUAACUGGGUGUGGUGGCGCAUGCCUGUAGUCCCAGCUACUCAAGAGGCUGAGGCAGAAGAAUCACUUGAAUCUGGGAGGCGGAGGUUACAGUGAGCCGAGAUAGUGCCGCUGCACUCCAGCCUGGGCAACAGAACGAGACUGUCUCAAAAAAAAAAAAAAAGAAAACCUGUGAACCUGGGGGCUGGGGAACAGAGCUCUUGCCCAUGCGAAACAUGGGGUGCUGGGAGAGCUCAUGAAAAUGUACAUCAUUCAUGUGCCAUGCGCUUGCUGAGUACUUCCCAUGCAUAAUUCAAUUUCAGCCUCAUGGCAGCCUUUCUCAGUUGAUGUUGUUAUCCCAGUUCAGAGAGGAGUAAACUGAGGCCCAGAGAAGUUAAAAAACUUGCCCAAGGACAUACAGCUAGUGAGUGGUGGAGCUGGGAUUUGAACCCAGGCAGUCUGUUUCCAGAGAACUGCUUCAGGCCCUCCUGCCCCUAUCAAGAGGCCAGGGCAGGGCAGAGCCUACAGGUGGGACUCCAGGGGUCCAGAGCUGGAUGAUCUACACACAGGGGAUCACAUGAUGCAAGCAGUUUCCGUACAAUGCGUUCUAUUUAGGGUGGGUUGUCCUUCUCCAGAAGGAAGAAUUUCUCCCUGGAGACUGGCCAGAUGCAGCCUGGUGGGUGGCAGUGCAUACAUUCCCAUCUCCUCAGACCUACCUACCAAGAACAGCCGCGCUGAUGAGAGUCCUGUGUCACUGGCGAAAUUGCUUCCAAAUUGCCUUCUUCAUUAACUGUGCAAAUUUGCAUCUUAAUUAGGCUUAAUGGAAUACAAUUACCAGACCCCACGUUUCUCUCUCUGAUUUCAAGCAAGGAUGCCACAGAGACAGGCCAGAAGCCAAAAACGUGGGGCUGGAGGGAGCCUGGUUGGGCUCUCCCUGCAGGAAACCUCGCAUCUGGGAAAGGAGGGGCCAGGCGCUACCCAGCGGGGACUGCACCUGGUACAUCCAGGCUCCUGAACUGAGGAGACCAUGGGAUUUGGAAUCAAGCUUUGGGAAGCCUGCCUCUGCCUCUGACCAGUGGAGGACUGACCCUUUCUGAGCCUCUGUUUUCUCAUUUGUAAAUUGGAGAUGGUGAUAACAUUUACUAUGGGGUAGCUGCAGGGAUCAAAGGUGAUCGCGUGUGUGUUAGCACCUGGUAAAGCACCUAACACGUAGUUUGUUCUCUUUCUCCAUGCCCUCCCUUUUUGAGGCCUACAAGGUUGUGCAGAGCUGAUCCCGGCCUUCCCCUUCGGUGAUUCAGUGAGCGUCAGCUUAUUUCAUCCUCCCUUCCAUGCUCUGGCCAUACACACUUCUGAGUCCUGGGAAGGCUCUAAGCUCCUUCCUGUCUUGUGAGCUUUUCAAGUGCUAUUCCCUCUGCUUGGAACACCUGACCCCUGGUUAGUACCUACUCAUCCUUCCAAUCUCAGCUCAAACAGCACUGUCUCCAGGAAGCCUUCCCUAGCCCCAGAAUAAACUCUCCUAACAUCAUUUAUCUAUGGGAUUAUUUAAUAUGUGUCCCUCUCUCUCCCACAGACAGUAAGCUCCAUGAGUGCAGAGAACACUUCUAUUGUGUUCUCUGUUGCAUCUCCAGCUCCUGGUUCAGGGCUUAUCACAUAGUAGGUCCCAUUCAUGUCUGUUUAAUGGAUGGAUAUGAACAUCCCACUGAGCCUCAGCGAAUGUCAAGUGGGAGCCAUAAUCUCAUCCUUAUGGUGCUGUGAAAUCAUUAAAUGAUUUUUGGCACACAGUAGGUGUUUGACGAAUGAGAUACCUAUUCUCCCAUUCCUUUCAAUUAAGGAAAAGUUAGAAGCAGGCAUAUAGGUAGCUUAAAGGACAGCAUGUUCAUGGAUAGGAACCCCCAAUAUUGUCUAGAUGUCAGUUUUUACCAACUUGAUUUAUAGAUUUAAUGCAACCCCAAUCAAAAUUCCAGCAAGUUAUUUUGUGGAUAUAAGCAAACUGAUUAUGAAGUUUAUAUGGAGAGCAAAAGACCCAGAAUAACCAACACAAUAUUGAGGGAGAAGAGCAAAGUUGGCAGACUGACACUACCCAACUUUAAGACUUACUAUAAAGCUACAGUAAUUAAUAUGGUAUUGGUGAAACAAUAAACAGAGUAAUGGAACAGAAUCCAGAAUCCAGAGAUAAAUCGACAUAAAUACAGUCAAGUUGUUUUUGACAAAAGGGCAAAGUCAAUACAAUGGAGAAAAAUUCUUUUCAGCAAAUGGUGCUGGAACAACUGGACAUCCACAUGCAAAAAAGUACAUCUAGAUACAGACCUUACACCCUUCAGACAAAGUAACUCAAAAUGGACCAUAAGCCUAAGCAUAAAACCAAAAUUAUAAAACUCCUAGAAGAUAACACAGGAGAAAACCUGGAUGACCUUGGGUUGGCAAUGACUUUUUAGAUACAAUACCAAAGGCAUGCUCCUUGAAAGAAAUAAUUAAUUGAGAAGCCAGAAGGCAAAAUGGUACAGCCAUUUUGGAAGACAGUUUGGCCGUUUCUCACAAAACUAAAUAUACUCUUACCAUACCAUGCAGCAAUUAUACUCCUUGGUGUUUACCCAAGACUUGAAAACUUGUGUCUACACAAAAAUCUGCACGAGUGUUUAAAGCAGCUUUAUUUUUAUUUAUAAUUGCCAAAGCUUGGAGGCAAGUAAGAUGUCCUUUGGUAAGUGAAUGGGUAAACUAUGGUUCAUCCAGAUAAUGAGAUACUAUUCAAUGUUAAAAAUAAAUAAGCUAUCAAGCCAUGGGGAGAGAUGGAGGAAACUGACAUGCAUACUAUUAAGUGAAAGAAGCCCAUCUGAAAACGCUACGUACUAUAUGGUUCCAACUGUAUGACGUCCUGGAAAAGGCAAAACUUUGGAAACAGUAAAAAGAUCAAUGGUAACAAGAGGAUUCAGAAUCUGAGAGAUACUGCUUAAAAGGAAAAUGUCCUGGAGGGAUGCCAAACUGCACUCUCAAAGGUUUCGGCUGGAUGUGUGAUAUUGAUGGGGAAACCCAUUUCAGUGUCUCUAAGAAGGGGGUAGUGCUCCUCUUUCCAGGAUGUCUCUGGGGAAUCUAGAGCACCCCAAAGUGUGGUAUGCAUAGAAACAUUGCUGCUUAAGGUCUGAAUAUUUGUUCCUCAUCAAUUCAUGUGUUGAAAUUCUAACCUCUCCUGAAUGGGAUUAGUGCUCUUACACGAGAGGCCUGACAGAGACUCCUCACCCUUCCCACCAUGCGAAGACACAGUGAGAAGGCUCAGUCUAUGAACCAAAAUGUUGACUGUCACCAUUUACUCAAUCUGCUGUCGCCUUGAGCUUGGACUUCCCAGCCUCCAGAACUGUGAGAAAUAAAUUUCUGUUGCUUAUAAGACAACCAGUUUAUGACAUUUCGUUAUAGCAGCCUGAAUGGACUAAGACACCCUUCCCACCAUGUGAAGACAGAGUGAGAAGGUUCGGUCUAUGAACCAAAAACUGACCCUCACCAGUCAUUGAAUCUGCUGGUGCCUUGAUCUUGGACUUCCCAGCCUCCAGAACUGUGAGAAAUAAAUUUCUGUCGUUUAUAAGCCACCUAGUUUAUGAUACUUUGUUAUAGCAGCCUGAAUGGACUGAGACACCCACCUUAAAAAGACAGUACCUCAAAACCAUAAGGCAGGAUAACUGCUAGCCUGAUAUUAAUAGUUUUUAAUUUACUGCUAGCUUCAUUUUGCCAACUGAGUCAGAUAUUUUUUAAAAGUUCUGUUUGCAAUUAUUUUAACUUAGGAGAGGAGAAAAAGAGCAGGCAUCAGCCUGCAUAUGGGAUAUUUCUGAAAGGAUUUUGCUAUGAUUAGCUUGCCCUCAGGGAGAGUAAAAUGUGAGUUAUACAACCAUGCUUAUAUUUAGAUGUUGUUGAUGUUCUGGCUUAUAAUAUAUGAUGAGUUAGAAAUAAUUUUGUACUGAUCAGCCCAACCAGAAAAUAAACAUGCUUUAACUUGUAUUUAUUACUAAACUUGGUCUCCUAAAACAUGAUAAAGCAGUUGAGUCUAUAAUGACUGAGCCAUAGCUUCUCUGACUGACUCUAAGAGGGAAUGACGUUAAUAAGAGAUUAGCCCAUACCUCUAAUAGCCCUGGGAGAGAUGAACCCAAGACGGCAAGGCCCAGCUCUGAUGGAUGAAGGGACAGAGAACUAUAAGAAGACUGGGUUCCAUCUAGGAUGGGUGGCCUGUUGAGUGCCCAUCUUAUCUGCUUAGAUGAUGAUACUUGGAGACCUGACUCAAUUGUUGUGAAUGGUCUUUGUAAAAUUUUAUUUUAGAGACAGGGUCUUGCUAUGUUGCCCAGGCUGGUCUCAAACACCUGGGCUCAAGUGAUCCUCCUGCCUCAGCCUCCUGAGUAGCUGGAACUGCAAGUGAUUACUCUUAUUGAACAAACAAACAAAAACAAGUGCCUGUGACCUAAUAGAGAUGCAUGCAUAUGUUCACCAAAAGAUCUAGAAUGUCCACAACAGCCCUAUUUAUCAUCACCCCAAAUGGGGCACCCUGCACCUACCUCAACAGUAGAUGCAUACAUUUCUGUGUAUUUACACUGUGGAAUAUGACACAGCAAUGACAAUGAAUGAACUACAGCUAUACACAACAACAUGGAUGGCUAUCACAAACAUAAGGUAGAGCUAAAAGCGAAAAAAACCAGCAUAAAAGUGGGCAAAAGCCAUCUAUGUUGUUAAAAAUCAGGAUAGUGGCUGCCCUGGAAGGGGGCAUGAGGAGGCUUCAAGGUGCUUGUCAUGUUCUCUUUCUUCACU